rnacentral:tmRNA from 1 species
GGGGCUGUUUGGCUUUGACAGCGGGCAGGAAUGGUAUGUAAGCAGGCAGUGCUCUGUCGGUCUGCACUAUAAAAAGACAGUCAACAAUUAUCUGGCAACAACAAUUUUGCUCUUGCUGCUUGACCGAAGUACAGUAGGUCUGCUUAAUCACGGCACAAGGUGCUGUGACAGGACAUCACCCGGAAGCUCUUGCUCCGAAGCUCGUCGAACAGGUGGUGCAGUCAAAUCGGGGAUAGCCGGUGGCGGCUUCGCGUCACAGGUGAAACUUUAGAAGAUAAGGAUCAGAUUUGGUAGCUCUGGCCGGAGCUGGUCUCGAAAAUCCAAGCAGAGAUAAGCCUGUAGAAAGCAUAUGGUUUCCCCGUUUGGACGAGGGUUCGACUCCCUCCAGCUCCACUC